rnacentral:rRNA from 1 species
UGUGAUAAAUUAGUCGGGGAAGUUGAUAACUAAUUACUGAUGAAAAAAAAUGUCAAUACUAUUGGCGUAGAGGUCUGUAGUAAGGUAGUAAAAUAUAUUUUUUUUUAUAAAUAGGGUUUAAAAGUAACCACGUUAAAUAGGUAUUAUAACCAAAAAGUUGAGAUAAUAUUUUCUAGUGAAAGUCAGUAAAUAAAAUUUGAGUCACGUUUAAUAUGUUAUAAUAAGUAGUUAAAUAUUUAAUUAAUUUCUCGUUUUAAUCCGAACUGUUUAUUAAAAACAUUUCUAUAAAAAUAUAUUUAUAGUAGGACCUGCUCAAUGUUUAAUAAAUAGCCGCAGUAUCUUGACUGUGCUAAGGUAGCAUAAUUAAUUGUCUCUUAAAUAGGGAAUUGUUUGAAUGGUUGUUUUGGAUUAUAAAAUAUUAAUUAAAUUUUAUCGAAAUUAGUUAUUGAGUAAAGAACCUCAAAUUAAAAUAAUAGACGGAAAGACCCCGAGAGCUUGAUUAAAUUUUAUUUGGGGCAAAAUCCUUUUUUUAAAGGAAAUUUGAACCUAUUGGGUUUAUUGGUUAAGUUACCUCGGGGAUAACAGGGUUAGAAGUAAGGAGAGUUCAUAUCGAUUUACUUAGUUGCUACCUCGAUG